AAACGAAAAUUUCUAGCCUUAUCGGUGGAUCACUCGGCUCGUGGAUCGAUGAAGAACGCAGCAAACUGCGAUAAUUUGUGCGAACUGCAGAAACCUUGAGCACAAAAGUUUUGAACGCAUAUUGCCGCAUUGGGGUCAAACCCUUUGCUACGUCUGGUUCAGGGUCAUUUCUUUUAAAGCGAAAGCUUUUAUUUUAUAUAUUGCUUUUUAUGCUAUAUAUUCUAAAAUGAGUUUUUUUUAUCGUAAUUGUUAAGCAUAACAGCAACAAUAAUUAAUUUUUGACCUGAACUCAGUCGAGAGCACCCGCUGAACUUAAGCAUAUCAGUAAGCGGAGGAAAAGAAACUAAACAGGAUUCCCCCAGUAACGGCGAGUGAACAGGGAAAUGUCCAUCGCUAAAUCAUUUUGCCUCAGGCAUUAUGAGGUGUAGCGUAUAAGCAGUAAUCUUUGAUCUUUUGUCUCUAACAAGUCCCCUUGACAGGGGUUCCAUAGAAGGUGCAAGUCCUGUACAUUGAGAUAAAUGAUUGAUAUUUGCGUGCUUUAGAGUCGGGUUGUUUGGGAUCGCAGCCCAAAGUCGGUGGUAAACUUCAUCUAAGACUCAAUAUUGCCACGAGACCGAUAGCAAACAAGUACUGUGAAGGAAAGUUGCAAAGCACUUUGAAGAGAGAGUUAAAGAGGACGUGAAACCGAUGAGGUGGAAACGGAUAGAGUCGGCGUAUCUUUCAAGUAUUCAUUUACAUUAUUUUUGUGUUGUGAUCUCUGAGCUCCAGAUUGGGACAGAGGGAAGCAACAUAAUUUUUUGUGAUGCAUUUACUUGUUUGGUGCUUGGGGAUGUUUGAGGCAGAUUUGUAACCGCCGUUUUGAGGCCAGCUUGCUGGUACCCAAACGGUGCUAGCAUUUUUUGUCUUGGACAUUUGAGUAUGGCUUACGGGCAUUUAUUGGUUCGAUCUGAGUGUUAGGUACGGUCGCAUGCGACACGUGCUUUUCAAUUAGUUCGGUCCAGUUAAUGCUCUCGUACUCUUUCCCCAUGUAAAAGCCGGUCAUCUAUCCGACCCGUCUUGAAACACGGACCAAGGAGUUUAUCGUGUGCGCAAGUUUUUGGGUGUUAAAAACCUAAAAGCGAAAUGAAAGUAAAUGGCUCUUUGGAGUCUGAUGUGCGAUCUUGUAAAAAGGUGCAGCAUGGCCCCAUUCUAACUGUUUACAGUAGGGUGGCGGAAGAGCGUACGCGUUGAGACCCGAAAGAUGGUGAACUAUUCCUGAGCAGGACGAAGCCAGAGGAAACUCUGGUGGAAGUCCGAAGCGGUUCUGACGUGCAAAUCGAUCGUCUGACUUGGGUAUAGGGGCGAAAGACUAAUCGAACCAUCUAGUAGCUGGUUCCCUCUGAAGUUUCCCCCAGGAUAGCUGGAGCUCACGAGUAGUUAUACUCGGUAAAGCGAAUGAUUAGAGGACUUGGGAACGAAAUGUUCUUAACCUAUUCUCAAACUCUAAAUGGGUAUGAUGUCAAAGUUGCUUGAUUUUGAACUUUGGCGUUGAAUACGAGCUCCAAGUGGGCCAUUUUUGGUAAGCAGAACUGGCGAUGUGGGAUGAACCAAACGCGGAGUUGCGGUGCCAAAGUGCCCGCUCAUUAGACCCCAUAAAAGGUGUUGGUUGAUACAGACAGCAGGACGGUGGCCAUGGAAGUCGGAAUCCGCUAAGGAGUGUGUAACAACUCACCUGCCGAAUCAACUAGCCCUGAAAAUGGAUGGCGCUGGAGCGGGCCACCUAUACUCUGCCGUCAUAUGCUUGUAUUUUUAAGUCUUGCAAUGACGUGUAAGAGGGUCGUAGUGGUUGCGUUGAAGGCUUUGGGUGUGCACCCAGCUGGAGCUUCCACUAGUGCAGAUCUUGGUGGUAGUAGCAAAUAUUCAAGUGAGAUCCUUGAAGACUGAAGUGGAGAAGGGUUCCACGUGAACAGCAGUUGAAUGUGGGUCAGUCGAUCCUAAGGCACCGGCUAAAGCCGUCUAGACACUGCGGGGAGAUGAGAUACUUAACGGUAUUUUGUCCACCCGGUUGCCGAAAGGGAAGUGGGUUAAUAUUCCCACACCAGGCAUGGGAGAUGGUGAUCCGCAAGGAUUACUUUGCGCGGUGACGCAAACAAACUCGUAGACCUCGUGUGGAGUCCGGGCCAGAGUUCUCUUUUCUGGUUUAGAGAUCAUGUCCCUGGAAGUGGCUCAGCCUGAGAUAGGGAUGCUGGUCUCGUAAAGCGCAGCGGUUCCUGUUGUGUCCCGUGUGCUCCACAUGAGCCGUGAAAAUGCGAGGGAGGCAAUUAAAAUCUCCUGCCUGAUCGUACCCAUAUCCGCAGCAGGUCUCCAAGGUGAACAGCCUCUAGUCGAUAGAAUAAUGUAGGUAAGGGAAGUCGGCAAAUUAGAUUCGUAACUUCGGGAAAAGAAUUGGCUCUAAAGGUUGGGUCAGUCGGGCUGUUGUGUGAAACAGGUGGACUUUGCUCGUGGCUGCUUGAGCUUCCUU